rnacentral:lncRNA from 1 species
AGUUGGCUGCAUUCUACAUUCUGGUGCCUAAUUCCAAGAAACCUGAGAGUUCUGAGGUUGAUCCUGGCCUUCUAAAGCACUGGGAAGUCAUUGUCAAGAACCUUCCUCCCCAGCCAUGAAAACAAGCCCCAGCCUGCCCUUGGGAGAAUGAGAGACUAUAGGAAGCAGAAGUGAGCCAUCCCAGCUGAGGCCACUAUGACCAACCAGUAUCAGUGUCCAGACAACCUAGCAGCUGACCACAGACACAUAAGCCUGGCCAAGGCCAGAAGAACCACCCAGCUGAGCCUAGCCCAAAUUGCUAAUCUGCACAAAGACCUUGAGGAAUGAAUGACCCAUGGAAUGUGCUUUGAGAAGUGGAAGAUGGUGGCCAAGAGGUGGGUUCUGAAGUCACAAGACCUGACUUCCUGCACAGGCUCUGCACCUAGUAGCUGUGUGACUUUAGGAAAAAUGCCUACAGAGCAGUGGGACACAGAGCUCUGCUGGCCGCCUCCGACGAGGAUCUAAUGGCUUUUCCAGGAGCGCACCCCAUCACCACCCCCAGACAACUCAGAUGGCUUCCCCUCCCCUUUUGUCUUCUGGGCUGCGCCCCAGCACCCACCAGUCUCUUUUUCUAGCCAGGGUGGGGCCUCCCAGGGCUUAUGGGCUCUGGGCCCAGGGCUCGCUUCCUUUCUUGGCAGCUGCUAGAAAUCUCCAGUUUCUGGCCUACUAAAACCCUUCCAUUUAUUUAUUUAUUUUUUUUGCCUGCUCCAGGGAAAGUUUUGAUUGGCUUCAGCUGGGAUGACCUCAUCCUCUCUAGAUUUUGGUGGCGUUCCCAUUUUCCACAUCUCCGCCUUUAUCCAAGGAAUUCCCUUCUGACUGUCUUUUCUCUAAAGGUCGCCCCACCCGCGUCUUCCUGGGCUUUGGAAUUCCCCAUCCUCACUUGGGAAGGCAAGUGGGCCGUGGACUCUCACCGUCUCCCCACCACUGCCCUCCUGGGUCGUCUUGACUGCCCCCAGCUCUGGCAAGUGCCUCCUGCAGGAUCCCAGCCUCCCCUGCAGGGAUCCUUUGCUCAUUCGCCCCUCCCCCGACUGAUCUCUGCUGUAUAUUCAGGACUCACAGGAAACCACAUUAUUUAAA